GAUGAACGCUAGCGGCAGGCUUAACACAUGCAAGUCGAGGGGUAGAGGAAGCUUGCUUCCUUGAGACCGGCGCACGGGUGCGUAACGCGUAUGCAAUCUACCUUAUACAGGGGGAUAGCCCAGAGAAAUUUGGAUUAAUACCCCAUAGUAUAAUUGAAUGGCAUCAUUUAAUUAUUAAAAGUUCCAACGGUAUAAGAUGAGCAUGCGUCCCAUUAGCUAGUUGAUGUGGUAACGGCACACCAAGGCGACGAUGGGUAGGGGUCCUGAGAGGGAGAUCCCCCACACUGGUACUGAGACACGGACCAGACUCCUACGGGAGGCAGCAGUGAGGAAUAUUGGUCAAUGGGCGCAAGCCUGAACCAGCCAUGCCGCGUGCAGGAUGACGGUCCUAUGGAUUGUAAACUGCUUUUGUACAGGAAGAAACACUCCCUCGUGAGGGAGCUUGACGGUACUGUAAGAAUAAGGAUCGGCUAACUCCGUGCCAGCAGCCGCGGUAA
rnacentral:rRNA from 1 species